rnacentral:rRNA from 1 species
CCCUUAGAUGUUCUGGGCCGCACGCGCGCUACACUGAUGCAUGCAACGAGUUCUAUCCUUGGCCGGAAGGCCUGGGUAAUCUGUGAACGUGCAUCGUGAUAGGGAUAGAUUAUUGCAAUUAUUAAUCUUGAACGAGGAAUUCCUAGUAAACGCAAGUCAUCAGCUUGCAUUGAUUACGUCCCUGCCCUUUGUACACACCGCCCGUCGCACCUACCGAUUGAAUGGUCCGGUGAAAUCUCGGGACGGCGGCUUGGUCGCUUGCGUCCGACUGCUGAAACUUGAUUAAACCAUAUCAUUUAGAGGAAGGUGAAGUCGUAACA